GGCGUGUGACUGCGUACCUUUUGUAUAAUGGGUCAGCGACUUAUAUUCUGUAGCAAGGUUAACCGAAUAGGGGAGCCGAAGGGAAACCGAGUCUUAACUGGGCGUUAAGUUGCAGGGUAUAGACCCGAAACCCGGUGAUCUAGCCAUGGGCAGGUUGAAGGUUGGGUAACACUAACUGGAGGACCGAACCGACUAAUGUUGAAAAAUUAGCGGAUGACUUGUGGCUGGGGGUGAAAGGCCAAUCAAACCGGGAGAUAGCUGGUUCUCCCCGAAAGCUAUUUAGGUAGCGCCUCGUGAAUUCAUCUCCGGGGGUAGAGCACUGUUUCGGCAAGGGGGUCAUCCCGACUUACCAACCCGAUGCAAACUGCGAAUACCGGAGAAUGUUAUCACGGGAGACACACGGCGGGUGCUAACGUCCGUCGUGAAGAGGGAAACAACCCAGACCGCCAGCUAAGGUCCCAAAGUCAUGGUUAAGUGGGAAACGAUGUGGGAAGGCCCAGACAGCCAGGAUGUUGGCUUAGAAGCAGCCAUCAUUUAAAGAAAGCGUAAUAGCUCACUGGUCGAGUCGGCCUGCGCGGAAGAUGUAACGGGGCUAAACCAUGCACCGAAGCUGCGGCAGCGACGCUUAUGCGUUGUUGGGUAGGGGAGCGUUCUGUAAGCCUGUGAAGGUGUACUGUGAGGUAUGCUGGAGGUAUCAGAAGUGCGAAUGCUGACAUAAGUAACGAUAAAGCGGGUGAAAAGCCCGCUCGCCGGAAGACCAAGGGUUCCUGUCCAACGUUAAUCGGGGCAGGGUGAGUCGACCCCUAAGGCGAGGCCGAAAGGCGUAGUCGAUGGGAAACAGGUUAAUAUUCCUGUACUUGGUGUUACUGCGAAGGGGGGACGGAGAAGGCUAUGUUGGCCGGGCGACGGUUGUCCCGGUUUAAACGUGUAGGCUGGUUUUCCAGGCAAAUCCGGAAAAUCAAGGCUGAGGCGUGAUGACGAGGCACUACGGUGCUGAAGCAACAAAUGCCCUGCUUCCAGGAAAAGCCUCUAAGCAUCAGGUAACAUCAAAUCGUACCCCAAACCGACACAGGUGGUCAGGUAGAGAAUACCAAGGCGCUUGAGAGAACUCGGGUGAAGGAACUAGGCAAAAUGGUGCCGUAACUUCGGGAGAAGGCACGCUGAUAUGUAGGUGAAGCGACUUGCUCGUGGAGCUGAAAUCAGUCGAAGAUACCAGCUGGCUGCAACUGUUUAUUAAAAACACAGCACUGUGCAAACACGAAAGUGGACGUAUACGGUGUGACGCCUGCCCGGUGCCGGAAGGUUAAUUGAUGGGGUCAGCGCAAGCGAAGCUCUUGAUCGAAGCCCCGGUAAACGGCGGCCGUAACUAUAACGGUCCUAAGGUAGCGAAAUUCCUUGUCGGGUAAGUUCCGACCUGCACGAAUGGCGUAAUGAUGGCCAGGCUGUCUCCACCCGAGACUCAGUGAAAUUGAACUCGCUGUGAAGAUGCAGUGUACCCGCGGCAAGACGGAAAGACCCCGUGAACCUUUACUAUAGCUUGACACUGAACAUUGAGCCUUGAUGUGUAGGAUAGGUGGGAGGCUUUGAAGUGUGGACGCCAGUCUGCAUGGAGCCGACCUUGAAAUACCACCCUUUAAUGUUUGAUGUUCUAACGUUGACCCGUAAUCCGGGUUGCGGACAGUGUCUGGUGGGUAGUUUGACUGGGGCGGUCUCCUCCUAAAGAGUAACGGAGGAGCACGAAGGUUGGCUAAUCCUGGUCGGACAUCAGGAGGUUAGUGCAAUGGCAUAAGCCAGCUUGACUGCGAGCGUGACGGCGCGAGCAGGUGCGAAAGCAGGUCAUAGUGAUCCGGUGGUUCUGAAUGGAAGGGCCAUCGCUCAACGGAUAAAAGGUACUCCGGGGAUAACAGGCUGAUACCGCCCAAGAGUUCAUAUCGACGGCGGUGUUUGGCACCUCGAUGUCGGCUCAUCACAUCCUGGGGCUGAAGUAGGUCCCAAGGGUAUGGCUGUUCGCCAUUUAAAGUGGUACGCGAGCUGGGUUUAGAACGUCGUGAGACAGUUCGGUCCCUAUCUGCCGUGGGCGCUGGAGAACUGAGGGGGGCUGCUCCUAGUACGAGAGGACCGGAGUGGACGCAUCACUGGUGUUCGGGUUGUCAUGCCAAUGGCACUGCCCGGUAGCUAAAUGCGGAAGAGAUAAGUGCUGAAAGCAUCUAAGCACGAAACUUGCCCCGAGAUGAGUUCUCCCUGACCCUUUAAGGGUCCUGAAGGAACGUUGAAGACGACGACGUUGAUAGGCCGGGUGUGUAAGCGCAGCGAUGCGUUGAGCUAACCGGUACUAAUGAACCGUGAGGCUUAACCUU
rnacentral:rRNA from 1 species